GCGGGAAGCCCUCCAAACACCCAGGGCAGACCCUCUUCCCUGCAAGAUUGAGGGAGUCAAGAAUCACACAAGCAAAGGAAGGAAGCAUCAUCAAGGCUGGUGAUGGGGGCCCAAAAGGAUAGGGGCCAGGAGUGCCGGAGGGCAUGGGGAGGACAGGUGGUCUUGAGAGGAGAGUAAAGCAGAGGGUGGCUAUGGAAGGCCUCUUGGGGGAGGUGACAAUGGGGCACAGACCUGAAUGAAAGAUAGUGCCAGCCACGAGGAUGUCCACAGAAAGGACAUUUGGGGCAGGGGGCAUGGCAAUUGCAAAGGCCCUCAGGAUUUUGCAGGAAGUGGAAGAGGCAUGUAGAAGGUGCCAGAGGACAGACAGGAAGCCAA